rnacentral:lncRNA from 1 species
UUGAACACUUUGUCCUGAUGUCUAAGUGUAAACACAAGCCAUGCUGUGUGUACAGUAACAGCCUACAGUGCAAUCCAGUGCUUAUUUCCUAAAAGACACCCUGUUGGUACAACUUUACAGCUUUGGCCUCAUUUGACAUGGAGGGGGAUUUCCAAUAGAGAAACGAAACAAAAGAAAAUGAAGGAAUCUGAGAAAAAAAGAAAACGGAAGCUUGGAUCAUGAAGGGUAAGACUACAUUAAGUUGUGAUUGAUAGGCCCUUAAGAUCUUGAGAACAUGGAGAACAUUCUGGGCAAAGACCUUGUGGAGGAUUCUGUGAUAGUAACUGGAAACCAGCACAGCCCUCAAAAACUUUCAGCACUGAAUGAAAUACAACAACGAAAAAAAUCAAUGAGUCAAGAAAAGGUUUAUUUGCUCUCCAAGCAAUUUGGGAAGCCGGAGAAGAAUGCUGUUGGGGAGU